rnacentral:lncRNA from 1 species
GAAACAAUAAACCAAAAAUACUAAACAACAUUAAAAUAAAUGAAAAUAUUAAACGCCUAACACUGUAACACAAAUAUCUAGCACAAUUAAAAUUGUUAAUAUGCAUCACUAAAUAAAAAACAAAAAAUCCAACUUAACAAACUUUGUGAAAUUAAAUUAAAUCAAAAGAAAUAAAAAAAAAACACAUUACUUUUAGCAAUUAACGAGACUAAGCCAUCUACCAAGUGAAAUUAAAAAAAAUGCAAAUGCUUCUAAAAUUCAUCUUCAGCCGUGACAUCAAUGCAAAAUUCCUUUUCUCCAAACCACCACCAUGGGCCCCAUGCUCUACCUAAUCACCUACUUCUACCUAAGAAAGCUAGCUUCUUCUAUUUCAAAAGAAUAAUGCAAAAGAAAGGCAAAAGAAAGACUGCCAACGUUAUUUCUCUGGCUGCCACCGUCCAUCAUCUCAAAGCAACUCAUCUACUAUUCAAUUCAUAAAAUGAAAAGAAAGGUUAGCAAUUCCCUACAGCAGAAACGAAAUUUCCUAUCACAAUCACUAACAUCAAUGUGCAC